AUUCCAGGCUGUGGCUUGCCUUUUCACUUCUUGUGUCCUGUUUAAGAAAUAUCUGCUAUCCCAAGCAUCUGGCAUCUUUCUUGACAUAUGUAGCAGUUGCUUUUUGACAGCUUGCUUCUUCAGUGAAUGAAUAAAUUAAUAAAGAGAAAUGUGAUGUUCAGUGAUCCAUUUUGCAGAUUGCAAACUCCUAGAGAAGGGCUCAACAGUGAGUGCUGAGGCUGCACAGAGGAGGAAGGCAGCACAAUGAUGGAAGGCUUCCUAAAGAGAUAACACUAACAAAGUUGACCUUAGAAUUGGAGUGCCUGGGUUAGAACCCUGCUGGUACCACCUGCUUACUGCAUGCUUCUGAUGUGAGUUCAGGAGAAGACACUGGCAAGGACAGCAAAGAACAGGAGAACACUCUAGCUUCCCUGAUAGCAUUCAAGGCUCUUGAGUUUCUGCUUUCAAGUGACCCUCAGAAAUUCCUCCAUUCACUGCAGAGGUUCUGUUUCUCCUUGCUUUGUUCUGACUUUACGGCAGAACUAAGCUAAUGAGUUAGUUACUAUGGGUUAUCACUUGGAUUUGAAGAACCAUCAUUUCUAGGCAUUGCUGCUCAGAGUGGGUCUGCCCUCAGGGGAAGCUGUCUAACCAGAGCCUAACCCACUAGGGUUUUAUCAGAACCUAACUGACCUGAGGAAAAGAAAUACUCAACUCCAGCAAGCUCCAGCCUUCCAAAUGGAGGAGGAGAAAACCCAACUCCAGCCCACUUCAGCUAUCUUGUCCCACAUAAAGGGGAAGUGGAAGAAACCUGAGAAGCAGGCAUGAAGUUCACAGUCCAGAGUGUAUUCCACACCAUUUCAUAUUCCAUCGCAUUCCAUUCUACACAAUUCCACAUCUCCCCGGCCACAUCAGCCUGAGAGUAAUAAACAGACCUUGCCAUCGUAUCCCCUUUUGGAGACACAAGCCAGGAAGGAAGCUCUUCAGUGCAGCUGUGAAUAGAGAAAUGCUGGCUGAGGUUUUGGAGACACUGGGUGAUCAUUCCCAGUGAAAUUUUUAGAUCCCUGGGGACAUGAGCUGCUUUGUCUUUUCCAAGGACAGCAGACAGAGCAUGAAUGAGACCCCCAAAGAAGGGAAGCAAAUGAGACAAGCCCCACAAUUAUUCUGGCUUUUUGCCUAGAGACAAUCUAUGAACUGUGGGGCAAACAACAGAGAUCAAAACAGCUUGGCAAUCUGAGUUGAGGAUGAAGACACCAUUGGGGCAGAAGCAGCGAUAGCUCAAAUUUGUGGAGCAAAGUACCGGAGAAGAUAAACUGCUCCAAAUUCCAAGAGGCUGGGCAAAGAAAAACUUUGUGGAAAGAAGAAUUAUCAGGGAACUCUAAGCUGAAAAAUUGCCAGGGCUCACACAGACCUGGGGAAUUGGUUGAGUUUAUGCCACCUACAGGAUAGAGAACUUGCUGAAUGUUCAAGGAUUUUGUUACAGAUGCAAGAUGACACUUAAAGGGAUGCAAAACUAACAUCUCUGGAUUAGUCUUAAUAAAGUUUAAAAAUAAGCUUAGAAAAAGUCAAA
ensembl:lncRNA CASC19 cancer susceptibility 19